GUCUCCUGGUACCACAGUGGUAGAGUUCCUGCCUUGCAUGCAGGAGACAUGGGUUCAAAUUCUAUGCGAAACU